rnacentral:rRNA from 1 species
GACGAACGCUGGCGGCGUGCUUAACACAUGCAAGUCGAACGGAAAGGCCCUGCUUUUGUGGGGUGCUCGAGUGGCGAACGGGUGAGUAACACGUGAGUAACCUGCCCUUGACUUUGGGAUAACUUCAGGAAACUGGGGCUAAUACCGGAUAGGAGCUCCUGCUGCAUGGUGGGGGUUGGAAAGUUUCGGCGGUUGGGGAUGGACUCGCGGCUUAUCAGCUUGUUGGUGGGGUAGUGGCUUACCAAGGCUUUGACGGGUAGCCGGCCUGAGAGGGUGACCGGCCACAUUGGGACUGAGAUACGGCCCAGACUCCUACGGGAGGCAGCAGUGGAGAAUAUUGCACAAUGGGCGGAAGCAUGAUGCAGCAACGCCGCGUGCGGGAUGACGGCCUUCGGGUGGUAAACCGCUUUCGCCUGUGACGAAGCGUGAGGGACGGUAAUGGGUAAAGAAGCACCGGCUAACUACGU